GCUAUUCUUUCCGGUAUAUCGGCAGGGGGGCUUGCGACUAUCUUACAUUGUGACGGAUUUCGAGCACGUCUCCCCGAUGUGGGCAGAGUGAAAUGCCUCUCGGAUGGGGGAUUUUUCUUUCGAGGAGAGAAUGUCCUUAAUGCCGACUACAGAGAGAAAUAUUUUGCCUCCGUAAUUACGCUCCAUAAUAUAUCCAGCCUCCUUCCCGUGAGAUGCACUGAGAGAAUAGAUCCGAGUUUGUGUUUCUUCCCCGAAAAUCUAGUAAGAGACAUUCAAACUCCAAUCUUUAUAUUGGAUAGUGCAUUUGAUGCAUAUCAG